AUUGAACGCUGGCGGCAGGCCUAACACAUGCAAGUCGAACGAGUGGCGGACGGGUGAGUAAUGCCUGGGAAACUGCCCGAUGGCGGGGGAUAACUACUGGUAACGGUAGCUAAUACCGCAUACCAUCGGAUGUGCCCAGAUUGGAUUAGCUAGUAGGUGGGGUAAUGGCUCACCUAGGCGACGAUCCCUAGCUGGUCUGAGAGGAUGACCAGCCGCACUGGAACUGAGACACGGUCCAGACUCCUACGGGAGGCAGGAGUGGGGAAUAUUGCACAAUGGGCGCAAGCCUGAUGCAGCCAUGCCGCGUGUAUGAAGAAGGCCUUCGGGUUGUAAAGUACUUUCAGCGAGGAGGCGUUACGCGCAGAAGAAGCACCGGCUAACUCCGUGCCAGCAGCCGCGGUAAUUC
rnacentral:rRNA from 1 species